rnacentral:lncRNA from 1 species
GGGGUGAAGGAAGGACUGGAAACAAUAGAGAGUUAAAUGAUUUAAUGAAAACAAAUAAAUUAACAAACAAGAAAAGACAAUGAUGCUGGGAAGACGACAAUCCAAGAUGGUGGUGAGGUGGUGAGGAAUUUGGAUGAUGGCGGUGAGAAGGCAGCAGGAGAGGAUGGCACAGGAACUGCGGGGGAAUAGAGCCGAAGGUAAGUAUUUGUUGCUGAGCGGAAGUGCAUAGAGUGGAUGAGGUUCCGGGAAACCACGAACAUCCAACGCAGACAACACUGAAGCCAAACAAACAGGGUAAGCAACAUUAAACAACAAUCUCACAAACACAAGACGUGAGACAAGCCAAUAUAUAGGGAAUGAGUAAUGAGUGACAGCUGCUGCUGAUGACAAUUAACGGAGACGGCCACAAACUAAUCAGUGCAGACGCGAAACACACAGACUUCACCACAAAGUGCAAACACCCCGAGAUCACGGUUUACCAACCGUGACAUGUAUGGGUUGUUGGGUCCUCGUCGCGAUGCCGAUCAAAAAAAAAAAAAGAGGGGUUAGAAUGUAGCAGGUUAAUUAUCCUAUCUGCUUUUGGCCCCGGUUGGAGUGUGACUGGCAGACCAAUGAGGUGAGAGCGUCCAUACUAUUUAAAGACUCUUAUUUUGAUGGGUGUAAUGUUGUCCUAAUGAUUCUGGGUUCUCCUCUCCCUGGCAUUUCCCUUUCUGUUCCUAUUUGUGUUAAGAAGAUGUUCAGGAGACUGCCGAAUGACAGGAGAACAAUCCACACAAACUACAAGAGUGUGAGGAGCGCACAACAACAUAUGUAUAUUAAAUAAUGAAGACUGUAUGGCACUAGAAAUGCUUACCUGGUAACCAGUAAAUAUUGAUUAAAGUUAAAAUAAUUGUUCUAAACAUGAUUAUAACAUUUAACCAAGGAACAUAAGAAACAACCUUAAAUUCAUAUUCAAUUCAAUCUCUGUUUCUUCAGCUCUCAAAAGAGGUUUUCACAUAUCUUAUCCUCCUCCAAUGCAAGCAGAUGGGAACGCCCACCCCUCACCUCAUCCUCUUUAAUCAUCUGAAUGUGAGAAUUACACAUUUGAUCAUUUAAAAAAAGUAAAAGCUCACCUUUUUGCAAAAUAAAUAAACAAAAGUAAAAGCUCACCUUUAUGCUAAAUAAAUGAAUAAAUAAAAUAAACAAAUAAAAAUACCUGCACA